rnacentral:rRNA from 1 species
GACGAACGCUGGCGGCGUGCCUAAUACAUGCAAGUCGAACGCAGUGGGGACGGGUGAGUAACACGUGGGUAACCUCCCAUCAGAGGGGAUAACACUUGGAAACAGGUGCUAAACCGAUACUGAUGGAUGGACCCGCGGUGCAUUAGCUAGUUGGUGAGGUAACGGCUCACAAAGGCACCGCUGCAUAGCGGGCCUGAGAGGGUGAGCAGCCACACUGGUACGGAGACACGGUCCAGAUGCCGACGGGAGGGAGCAGUGGGGAAUCUUCGACAAUGGACGCAAGUCUGACCGAGCAACGCCGGGUGAGUGAAGAAGGCCUUCGGAUCGUAAAACUCUGUGGUUAGAGAAGCGUUACCUAAACAGGAAGCACCGGCUAACUACGUGCCAGCCGCCGCGGUAAUAC